UGGGGAAUUUUGGACAAUGGGCGCAAGCCUGAUCCAGCAAUGCCGCGUGUGUGAAGAAGGCCUUCGGGUUGUAAAGCACUUUUGUCCGGAAAGAAAUCCGUCUGGCUAAUACCCGGACGGGAUGACGGUACCGGAAGAAUAAGCACCGGCUAACUACGUGCCAGCAGCCGCGGUAAUACGUAGGGUGCGAGCGUUAAUCGGAAUUACUGGGCGUAAAGCGUGCGCAGGCGGCUUUGUAAGACAGAUGUGAAAUCCCCGGGCUCAACCUGGGAACUGCAUUUGUGACUGCAAGGCUAGAGUGCGUCAGAGGGAGGUGGAAUUCCGCGUGUAGCAGUGAAAUGCGUAGAGAUGCGGAGGAACACCGAUGGCGAAGGCAGCCUCCUGGGAUGACACUGACGCUCAUGCACGAAAGCGUGGGGAGCAAAC
rnacentral:rRNA from 1 species